UACGUAGGGGGCAAGCGUUGUCCGGAUUUAUUGGGCGUAAAGAGCGUGUAGGCGGCCAUACAGGUCAGCUGUGAAAACUCGAGGCUCAACCUCGAGACGUCGGUUGAAACCGUAUGGCUAGAGUCCGGAAGAGGAGAGUGGAAUUCCCGGUGUAGCGGUGAAAUGCGCAGAUAUCGGGAAGAACACCCGUGGCGAAGGCGGCUCUCUGGGACGGUACUGACGCUGAGGCGCGACAGCGUGGGGGGCAAACAGG
rnacentral:rRNA from 1 species